rnacentral:lncRNA from 1 species
GUGAGUGUGGGCUAGUAGGGGCUCUCUCACAGGUGGAAGGUUGUGAUUAGAGACAGAUCUGAUCCUAAUCAACUGUUCACAAGAUGCUUUUCACCCCUGCAAGUCUCACAACAGAUCACUUUCCUAGGGCCGUUCUCACUGAUUCAUCUCCCCUUUUCCAGCUGUCCAUUCCGUGUGGACAGACUGCAGGAGAGGCUGUCCAGAAAACAAAUCUCACCUAGUUGUGGAGAACGGGUUAGGAGAGGUGAGUUAAGGCAUAAAGUCUCGCCUUGACAAUAAGUGCAGUAACCCCUGCCCUCAAUGGUGGUUCCGUAAUGGGAUCCACAGGAUGCAAAUUACUUCCUUGGUUCCUUGUUUGUUCUGGGCCACUGGAGAAGACAACCAGCUUCAAGGCACCGGAGGCUGAAGCACGUGGUGGACAUUCUGUUGUUAAUCGGCAAUUUACUCGGUGAAGAUGGUCACCAACAAAAGGACUGAGUGAAAUGAAACUGUUCCUUUUAUCCUGUCUGGGCCUGUCUGGCUCAGAGGGGCCAACAUGAAUGGCAAGAAAUCUGAGAAUGUCCUCCUGCAUGAAUCCCUGGGACAAUCAAUCCGAGCUUGCCAGGCGGUGGUGGCACACGCCUUUAAUCCCAGCACUCAGGAGGCAGAGGCAAGCAGAUCUCCAUGAGUUCCAGGCCAUCCUGUUCUACGGAGUAAGUUCCAAGACAGGCUUCAAAGCUACAGAGAAACCCUGUCUCGAAAAACGAAACAAAACAACAACAAAAGAG